rnacentral:lncRNA from 1 species
AAAACACAUCCCCAAUCCAUCCUUCACACGCCCUAUAAGGGUUUUUCAGGAAAUUUCAGGUCCUCCUCAAACUAAGUGCAUCUGCGCCACCUGCUGGUCAAACUUGGUUACUGCAUCUGGAGUUAAUGCUACUGGCUCAAGGAUCGCUUGGAGGACGAGGAGAUGGAAUGCGCUCCAUCUGAGGCACCUACUCCACACAGGCCUCGAUCCAAGUCAGCACUUCCUGCUCACAAGGAUAGUCAGCACCCUGAGAGUGGACAAUCCCUGCUCUUCAAGCGCUCUGUAGGCCCUAGCCUGAGGACAACUGUGGGGCUGUUCAUCUGAAUUUGGGAUUUGAGCCUUUUGUCACAGUCAUGGUCACGUUCUUGUGCUCACUUCCUUUGCUUUUUUUCAUGCAAAACUGUUUUAUUAGAAUCUGUAGAAUGGUGGGGGAAAUAAUAUCCCGCUUAAAUCACUCUCAAAACCAGAGAGGGAUCACAACUGAAUAGUGAGAACACUGUAUGCUCAACACAAGUUCAUUCUUCCAUCAACAUUAUUGUUCAAAAAGAAAUGUAUGUGAAUAUGGUAUAAAUCUUCAAGUCACACAAGGAAAAGACAGACCUGGAACACACCUCAUCCAGUCCAUUAUGCUCUGUGUACUAUCCUGACUUUAGAUCCUUCCCUGUGUCUAUGGUCUUUCAUACCCUGAUUGUGCUGGGAUACAAUCCCUACCAUUUUCCAAUCUUUUCCUGACCAUGGUUGGGCCUUCACUGUUGGCCCUCAGCUGAUAAGGAGCCCCUGAUUCUCCAGGGACACACCUCUCUCUUGUCUGAAUCAAUGAAACAUUGUUUUUAAAUAAAUCCAAAUCCCCUUGAACAGUCAUUCUGUGUCUCUAAUGCAUCACUUGAGUCCUGGCCUUCAUUUCUCAGAGCCCAACAGUAAUCUGUCAUUUAUACCCAAUAGGAACAUAGUGAGAACUCCA